rnacentral:rRNA from 1 species
GGGAAUGUGCUCUUGGGUGGGGAAUAACGCAGGGAAACUUGCGCUAAUACCGCAUAAUGUCUUCGGACCAAAGAUUUAUCGCCCAAGAAUCAGCCCGCGGCGGAUUAGCUAGUUGGUGGGGUAAAGGCCUACCAAGGCGACGAUCCGUAGCUGGUCUUAGAGGAUGAUCAGCCACACUGGGACUGAGACACGGCCCAGACUCCUACGGGAGGCAGCAGUGGGGAAUAUUGGGCAAUGGGCGAAAGCCUGACCCAGCCAUGCCGCGUGAGUGAUGAAGGCCUUAGGGUUGUAAAGCUCUUUCAGUAGGGACGAUGAUGACGGUACCUACAGAAGAAGCCCCGGCUAACUUCGUGCCAGCAGCCGCGGUAAUACGAAGGGGGCAAGCGUUGUUCGGAUUUACUGGGCGUAAAGGGAGUGUAGGCGGCUCUACAAGUCAGACGUGAAAGCCCGGGGCUCAACCCCGGAAUUGCGUUUGAGACUGUAGGGCUUGAGUGUCUGAGGGGUAAGCGGAAUUUCCAGU